UACGUAGGGUGCAAGCGUUGUCCGGAUUUAUUGGGUUUAAAGGGUGCGUAGGUGGUCUAUUAAGUCAGUGCUGAAAUAUCCCGGCUUAACCGGGAGGGUGGCAUUGAUACUGAUGGACUUGAGUAAAGUUGAGGUUGGCGGAAUUGACGGUGUAGCGGUGAAAUGCUUAGAUAUCGUCAAGAACACCUAUAGCGAAGGCAGCUAACUAAGCUUUAACUGACACUGAUGGACGAAAGUGUGGGGAUCAAACAGG
rnacentral:rRNA from 1 species